rnacentral:rRNA from 1 species
CGGACGGGUGAGUAAUGUCUGGGAAACUGCCUGAUGGAGGGGGGUAACUACUGGAAACGGUAGCUAAUACCGCAUAACGCCGCAAGACCAAAGAGGGGGACCUUCGGGCCUCUUGCCAUCGGAUGUGCCCAGAUGGGAUUAGCUAGUAGGUGGGGUAAAGGCUCACCUAGGCGACGAUCCCUAGCUGGUCUGAGAGGAUGACCAGCCACACUGGAACUGAGACACGGUCCAG